UACGAAGGGGGCUAGCGUUGUUCGGAAUUACUGGGCGUAAAGCGCGCGCAGGCGGCCAUUCAAGUCAGGGGUGAAAGCCCAGAGCUCAACUCUGGAACUGCCCUUGAAACUGUAUGGCUUGAGUAUGAGAGAGGUGAGUGGAAUUCCCAGUGUAGAGGUGAAAUUCGUAGAUAUUGGGAAGAACACCGGUGGCGAAGGCGGCUCACUGGCUCAUUACUGACGCUCAGGCGCGACAGCGUGGGGAGCAAACAGG
rnacentral:rRNA from 1 species